UAAUACGGAGGGUGCAAGCGUUACUCGGAAUCACUGGGCGUAAAGCGCGCGCAGGCUGCUUGAUAAGUUGGAUGUGAAAGCCUACAGCUCAACUGUAGAACUGCAUCCAAAACUAUCAGGCUAGAGUGUGGGAGAGGAAGAUGGAAUUAGUUGUGUAGGGGUAAAAUCCGUAGAGAUAACUAGGAAUACCAAAAGCGAAGGCAAUCUUCUGGAACACUACUGACGCUGAGGCGCGAAAGCGUGGGGAGCAAACAGGAUUAGAUACCCUGGUAGUCCACGCAGUAAACGAUGAAUGUUAGUCGUCGGGACUCUAGUAGUUUCGGUGAUGCAGCUAACGCAUUAAACAUUCCGCCUGGGGAGUACGGUCGCAAGAUUA
rnacentral:rRNA from 1 species